CGAUACUCCGAAAAGCGCGGUUUUCCGCGCGCCGAAGGUGCAACCUGGCGGCCGCCAGGGAAUCUCUCAGGUUUCAAAACGGAGGCGC
rnacentral:ncRNA from 1 species